rnacentral:tmRNA from 1 species
GGGGCCGACCGGAAUUGACAGGAUGGAAGAUUGGUGUGUAAGCAUGCCGGGCUUUGUGGAAAGUGCCCGUUAAAGAAAAUCCUCAAAUCAUAAACGGCGAAAACAACUACGCUCUUGCCGCUUAAUUUCGUUUAGAACGGAAUUAACUUUUUCCCGCUAAGAGUGGGAAGCAAGAUGUCUCCCGGAAGCGAUGUCUGGCCGCGUCCGGCAAGGAGGCACGAUAAAGCCGGAAUAAGGCCUGGUUCGUCCCGCACCAGCCCCGACAACCAAAGGGACUAAGUAGCAGGUAGGCUGUUUGUGGCCGGCCUGCCGCCGACAACCAAUCGCAAACUAAACAUGUAGAAAGCACAACCCGUCCCAUAUCUGGACGAGAGUUCGAAUCUCUCCGGCUCCACUU